rnacentral:rRNA from 1 species
ACCAGAAGUAACAACCAUUAACAAGCUCAGUCCCGUCAAAUCUUGAAAGCUAAGCAGCGUUGGGCCUGGUUAGAACUUGGAUGGGAGACGAUCUAGGAAGACCAGGUGCUGUAGGUG